UACGAAGGGGGCUAGCGUUGCUCGGAAUCACUGGCGUAAAGGGGUGCGUAGGCGGGUUUUUAAGUCAGGGGUGAAAUCCUGGAGCUCAACUCCAGAACUGCCUUUGAUACUGAAGAUCUUGAGUCCGGGAGAGGUGAGUGGAACUGCGAGUGUAGAGGUGAAAUUCGUAGAUAUUCGCAAGAACACCAGUGGCGAAGGCGGCUCACUGGUCCGGUACUGACGCUGAUGUGCGAAAGCGUGGGGAGCAAACAGG
rnacentral:rRNA from 1 species